rnacentral:rRNA from 1 species
UACGGAGGGGGCGAGCGUUAUUCGGAAUUAUUGGGCGUAAAGGGCGCGUAGGCGGCCCGCUAAGUCAAAGGUGAAAUCCCUCGGCUCAACUGAGGAACUGCCUUUGAAACUGACGGGCUUGAGGCCGGGAGGGGGUAGCGGAAUUCCCAGUGUAGCGGUGAAAUGCGUAGAUAUUGGGAGGAACACCGGUGGCGAAGGCGGCUACCUGGACCGGUUCUGACGCUGAUGCGCGAAAGCGUGGGUAGCAAACAGG